rnacentral:rRNA from 1 species
UACGUAGGGUGCAAGCGUUGUCCGGAAUUAUUGGGCGUAAAGAGCUCGUAGGCGGUUUGUUGCGUCGGCUGUGAAAUCUCCAGGCUCAACCUGGAGGGGUCAUUCGAUACUGCCAUGACUAGAGGUCGGUAGGGGAGUGUGGAAUUCCUGGUGGAGCGGUGAAAUGCGCAGAUAUCAGGAGGAACACCCGUAGCGAAGGCGGCACUCUGGGCCGAUUCUGACACUGAGGAGCGAAAGCGUGGGGAGCGAACCGG